CUUGCAACAGCUCCCACGGUGCGGUGUUUCUAUUUCUAAUUACUCCGAGAUGAAUGUGCAGCCGUGCGCUUUGCAAGAGCAGCCUCGCCUCGACGGGCCGCGUCGGCGGCUCGGCGAGCUCCAGGGCCGAGCGGGCCCGAAGAUGUGAAUUUCUGCUUCCGGGAGCACGCAGCUCUGCGCCCCCGGCCCGGCUCGCGUGGCCCCCCGCGCGACGUGGGCGCUUUGGAGCGCGCUCCGGGCAACGGGAGCGGAGCCCGCGGCGCGCUGCCUGUCCCCGGGCACGGCCGGCUCCCACGUCCCCGGCCCCAUUCAGGCCGCCGAGGCCGCGCCGCCUCGCUCGGCCCCCAGAUUACGGCCCCGGCGGCGCCCCCAGCCGGGGAGCGGGGGGCGGGGGCUGCGCGCCCAGCCUGCGGCCCAGAUGGCGGGCCAGCCCCGCGCGGGGACACUUUCUCAGGCUUUCAAAAAGAGCACUUUCUUUCCUGCCUAAUAUUUAGCUCCUUCAAAUGCAAAUGGAGAGGUUUCGCUCCAAGAUGUUCCAGGAGACUUUUCUAGACCUUCCUCCUGGGGCCAUCCUCCACCUGUCACUUCGGGAGAUGCUGUAAGGUCUCAGCCUCCUAGGUCUUCCUCACCUGAGACCCAAGAGAGACUGGAGACCCUUGGGAGCUCAUUAAAUCUUUCAGCCGCAUGGACAAUAUAUUGGCAAAUGCUUCGCGACCCACUAGGAUCUACAGUGCCUAGAUGACACUGUAAGCGGUUGGUGUCCCGAUGCCAUCUGGCACAUAAGAGCGAACGUGGAUCCAUUACCAUAUGGUGUAAUGCUAGCAGAACAAAGAAUGGUUUCACUUCUUCGUAACCUGCUGACGCAAGUAAAGCCAAGGCUGAUGUUUUGGAAAGUUCUUCAUACUGAGAGGAUUCAGAACAACACAGAAGAUUAGAGAGAUGUUAAUAAUCAUCAAAACUCGAGACAAGGCCUCCGACCUACUGCUGUAGCUGAAAGAGCUACUUCGGGAGAGACACCCUCGUCCAGCCAGCCCUGUGUUGCCUUCAUCUUCUCCAGUUACCCAGGGAGACCCAAAAGUUGUCUCUUCUCCGAGUAGGGAACCAGUGGAAUGGAUCCCUGAAACUCAGUGAACAUAGCGUUGCUUCACUCCAGCAUUUCCAUGCACACAAGCAUUCUGUUACCUCUGACACAAUUGCAUCUGCGAUGGUAACUGAGACGUAGAGGCAAGUCAGGCGCUAGGGCUCCGGGCACAGUCGCAGUGUCACAUCGAGCACGGCCGGCAGUCUGACAUGAGCAAGAUCCGAAACACCCCAACCUCAGGCUGCUUAUCUGCCAAGUUCAAAUUACCUACCUCACAGGGCUGCCGAAAAGGCUAAGAAGAACCUGCAUUACAAUGUUCAGCUCAUUACAAGUCAUGACAAAGCCCCGUUGGAACCAAAGAGGACUGACGCUCUUUAUAUGCCGAGAAGCUGUUCCCAUUAGUUGUCUUUCCCUGCAACAGGCCAGUGCUAACAUAACUGGAGAAUGAAACUUUGAAGAUUCUUGCAAUUUCAUUUUUUGUGUAUUGAGGAGACGGGAGAUACGUGUGUGAUUGCAGAGGUCACGGCACAGCACGUGGAGGUUCAAGCAAAAGAAAGACAAGGAGAGAACGGGAGAAACCGAGGGGGAAAGUGUCUAAGGAGACCAUGAAGUGUCCCUGGAGUCAUCAUCCUCCAGCCCAGCGAGGCAAGCCCUUUUCUGAGUAUCACCAUAGCACCACCUUGGGAAGUCAAGGCAUCUCCUGAUAUAUCAUUAUUUUCCUAACAAUCCCCCCAGGGCUUAUUGUUUGGGAGGACAGCGACAAUCAGAUAUGCACAGAGGGAAGUUGGGAUUAGCGUGACCAGAACAAUUGUGUGCCCAAGUGUUUACCUGUCAAUCCAUUCCAAACAUCCUUAUCCACGAACAACGUGUUAAGAAAUACAUCAA